AGUAAGUGUACCACAGGCUCAUGCUACCUCUAGGAACCAAUAGGGUCGGGUGUGGAUUCUACACGGACCCUUGACCAUGAUGACCCAGCAAGGCUCCGUCUCCAAGGAUGCCAGGACAGGACAGGAUGCGGCAGCCAGACUGAAUAAAUUAGCAGCACACAAGAGCUAGUGACGUCCAAAAGGACAUUUCUCGAUUCCUGCUGGACUUCCUGAGCACCUGGCAUCAGCAGACCUUCGACAGAUGCAUGUGACUUGUGCCACCCCCACUGGUGGCUUCGGGCAGGUCUCUGCUUCAGUAUGGACCUCAUUUUGUACAUCUAUAAAACAGGAUGGGAGCUGGACCUGGUGGACCGAUUUCCAGCAGCAAGUGCUCGUCUCUGUGGCCCAGCAGGGAGCAUGUGGCAUCAGGAAAGGCUGCAGGUGGCUGGCCUGGAGCUCGAGUCACUGAUCCUAGGAAGAGCCAGUGUAUGGUUCCCCAGCUCAGUGUCCUGCCGCAGCCAAGGCGGGGAACAGAGGGGCACAGGACAGGAAGUGAAAUCUGGGUCACCAGCCCCCAAGGCCCCUCCCUCACUCUACCUCUGUCUGAGCCGGGAAGGUCACCAGGCCAGGACCAGUCAGAGUUCCUCUCUGGGCCAAGGACAAGGAGGUGGCAUGGGGCUGGAGACCUGGCCACCUUCCCAAAAUAGGUGCUGCUGUCUUCCCAAGAGAAUGGAAUCGCGAUAACUCAGCGGGCGCAGGUUCAAAGCUCCAGCUGGGUGGAAUCCUGGCAGAAGUUGGUCUGAGGCUGGGAUGCGGUGGGAACAAUAAUGUGCUUUUGGCAGGCAGAGAGUUUUCCUUUCAGGCACUUGAAAUGGAUGCUUCUUCCUCCACCUCCUGCAGGGAAUUUCCAGAAUCGGAAAGAAUCUUCCCGGAAACUGGUUUUCCCGGUUUCCAUCUCAAGGGUCAGUUCUGCAGCCCCACCCACCACCCAACAAAAUGAGAUGGUUGAAUUCCCCUGGUACCCUGGCCUGAGGCAACAAUAGUUCCCCAGGGUGUGGAAUCUUUUCCAUCUGGACUUGGUCCUCUCACAGAGAAGUCUCCUCCUUGCUUUUAAAUUUACAAGAUUAAUUCAUACUAAAGUGUGACCAGCUCCCUUUUGGCUGAUCUGAGCAUUUGACUGAAUGGGAAUCACAGAAGUUCUGUUUUAUUCCUCUUAUGAUUACAGUGUCAAGCACAGGGCCUGGAGCUAGGUCAUGUCGUGUGGACAAUAACACAGAUGACAGCAGUAUUGGUAAUAAAAAACAACAGCUA
rnacentral:lncRNA from 1 species